GAUGAAGAACGUAGUGAAAUGCGAUAAGUAAUGUGAAUUGCAGAAUUCAGUGAAUCAUCGAAUCUUUGAACGCACAUUGCGCCCGCUAGUAUUCUGGCGGGCAUGCCUGUCCGAGCUUCAUUUCAACCCUCAAGCCCCUCCGGGGGCCUGGCGUUGGGGAUCGGCCCCGCUCCGGCGGCCGGCCCCGAAAUGUAGUGGCGGUCUCGCCGCUGCCUCCUCUGCGUAGUAGAAACACCUCGCAUUGGGACGCGGCGGGACCACGCCGUUAACCAGAUGACUUUUUUCAAGGUUGACCUCGGAUCAGGUAGGAAUACCCGCUGAACUUAAGCAUAUCAAUAAGCGGAGGA
rnacentral:misc_RNA from 1 species